GCAGUAAUGAUUUUCUAGAUUAAUGUGUAGGGGAAGGAUUAAUGUUUUAAAAAUAUGAAGUCUUUCCAGAACACAGAGCGUGUUUCCCAUUUUUCUCAGAAUUUUUACAUCUUCCAGUAAAAUUUUUUUUCAUUUACAUGUAUAUUUUUUAAAGUUUCUUCUUACAUUUAAAAAAACUACUUAUGAAUUUGUUUUAAUUCCUAUUUUCCUAAAAUAUAUUCUUCAGUAAUCUGUUAAUUUUUGUUUUUUUAUCUCAUCUGUAGCUAUACUGCUGAAUUUAGCUAGUCAGAGUACUUUGUUAUUUAGGUGUCUGGGAUUUUCUAGUUAGUUGGUCAUAUCUGCAAAUGCGUUUUUAUAAUUUUAAGGAUGGCUUUUUUCUUUUUAUUUCAGUAGCUAAUAAUUGUAGGUAACCUGUUUCUUUACUGACUGUAAUGGGAAAUAGCAUCGUGGCUGCUGGGGUUUCUAGUAGAUGACCCUUAUCAAAUUAAGGACAUUUCUUUUUCUUCUUGAUUUGCUAAAAGAUCUCUUCCCCCAUCCACCCACCUCCACUGCCAAUCUCCCCCCCUCCCCCAAGGGAUAGGUGUGGAAUUUAUUCAGUGAGUUUUUGAGGAGUUAAAAAACAAUCAGUUUUUUACUUACCUGUUAAUUUAUUUUUUUAAAGAUGUAAUUUAUUCAUGAGAGAGACGGGGGGAGAGAGAGAGACAGGCAGAGGGAGAAACAGGCUCCAUUCCAUGCAGGGAGCCUGACGUGGGAUUCGAUCCUAGGUCUCCAGGACCACACCCUGGGCUGAAGGCAGCGCUAAACUGCUGAGCCACCUGGGCUGCCCGUCUGUUUAUUUUAUUUUUUAAAGGUUUUAUUUAUUAAUGAGAGACACGGGGGAGGGGGGGGCGGGCAGAGACACAGGGAGAGGGAGAAGCAGGCUCCAUGCAGGGAGCCUGACGUGGGACUUGAUCCCAGGUCUCCAGGAUCAGGCCCUGGGCUGAAGGCAGGCGCCAAACCGCUGAGCCACCCGGGCUGCCCCCAUCUGUUAAUUUUAAUGGAGUGAAUGAUGCUAAUAUUUUCCGUGAACUACCCUUCAAUAAUUUGUAUAAAACGGGUUAAUGUUCUUUUAAGAGUGAUUGAUUCGUUUAGGUUUGUUUAUUUAUUUAUUUAUUUAUUUAUUUAUUUAUUUAUUUAUAAGAUUUUUAUUUAUUUUUUCAUGACAGACACAGAGACCGGCAGAAACAGGCAGAGGGAGAAGCAGGCUCCACACAGGGAGCCUGACGUGGGACUCGAUCCUGGGUCUCCAGGAUCAGGCCCUGGGCUCAAAGUGGCGCUAAACCGCUGAGCCACUCGGGCUGCCCCUAGGAUUUAUUAUAUAUGUUCAUAAAUGAAAUUGACUUCAUUUUCUUCUGUUUAUGUCUAGUUUUAGAAACCAUUAGGAUAACCUUAUAAAGUCAGUUGAAUUAGCCUUUCAGGUUUUUCUGUCUUGUCGAACAGUGUAUAUAAUAGUAUCCUCUGUUUAUUGACAGUCUGGUAAGUGUUCCUAUAAAACUGUGGGUAUUUUCAAGUGUUUUUCCUGACCUCACAGUUUCUUCUUUAGUUAUUAUCUAUUCAUGUUCUCUACUUUUUAUUAAAUUCAUAUUUUUGGAGAAAACCAGCCAGUUUUCCUAGAUUUAAAAAAAAUUACUUUUCUGUCCAGCUAUGCUCUGUUUAGUGUGUAUAUAAUGUAUAAUAUUUAUAUACACAUUCUAAAAUCUUCUGAGAUGCAACCACUUUUUUAUUCUUAAUACUUUAUUUGGCAUGAAGUGGGGAGUUAUCCUUGAUUUAGAUUGCCCAAGAUCUUUUUUUUUUUUAAACUAGACUUUAGUUAAAAAACAUUGAGCAAUGUUUUCACUAUUUCAUUACUUACUGUUCUUAAAUUUAGUGUGUAAAAUUCUACCUAAUUUGGAUUUGUUUUGUACCUAAGAGCUUUUUGAGUUGAAUCUACCUCAAUACUAAGUACAUUCCUGGUUCUAUAAUAAUAAUAAUAGGGUUGACCUUAGAAAAAUACUAUUUUAGUAGAGAUGGAACAAGAACUUUUUUUCCCAAGAUUUUUAUUUAACUUAUUUGAGAGUGAGAGCAUGAGCAAGCAACAGAAGGAAAGUCUCUAAGCUUUAGCCUGAUAUUAGCUCAUUUGAUGACAGAUAAGUCCUAUCACUUCCACUUCAGCCAAAAUGGCUCUGCUUUGACCUGGUUUGGUUCUCCUGAGAUGUGAUUUGAAAGUAGGGCUCCUUGGCUAAAACCACUUGAGAUGCCUGUUGAAUUUUAAAUAUUAAAUAAUCUGGUGGGUUUUUUUAAUCCUUUUAUCUCUUUAAACAUUCUCAACCUAUUUCAUUUUAUCCUAUACUUUUUAGGCUUUUCUGGAAUUCUUGUUCUGAUUUUGUUGGCUAUCUUUCUUAGCAUUGAAUUUCCUUGUGUGUUUUGGAGUUUUGGUAUGCAGGCUCAUGGGUUUUUUUUGUUUGUUUCCCUUUUCCAUCCUCUCUGGUGUUUGCCUCCCUUAGGAACUCCAGGAUCUCAGUCUAAAUCCAGGUAUCUGAUCACACCUGGUUAUUAAUAACCGUAAAGAGAGUGGGAGCAUUGUACCCCAUCCCAGAGUCACCUGGUAGCAUCAUUUUGAUUUCCAGUCCAAGGAGGUUUUGCUCUUUUAUUUUUAUUUUCUCUUAUGAUUUCCCCAUUCUACCUGUGUAUUUGGAGCAAAGAUUUGUUUAGUGUUUUGUUUUGGUACAGACUUACCAAAUCAUCCUGUAGUAUUAAAAAUUCCCACCAUCCCAGGGGAUUGUGGUAUAGGUUCUUCAUCCUCAGAGGUCACCAGAGUUAAUACGUGUGGUGUGUGUGGUGGUUUAUGGUUGUCUAGCUGCCCAGUGACCGCCUACUUUUGGGAGCAGUAUUUUGGUGGGGGCAGGGGAUGUUCUCUCUUCCCUGUUGGGUACAGUCUUUUGAGACCUGUAAAAUAAAGCAGCAUCCUAUCCCCUAGCCAAGGGCUAGGUGUAUGAAUAAAACCAGACCAGCUGAGCCCUGGACUGUUUCCUGGAUCACUUAGACUGUUUCCCUUCUAGAACAAUUUUAGUUCCUGCAAUGAAACCCAUAGGAUCUUCCUGCCUACUCCUUUGGACCUAUGCUAAGGUCUUUCCCUUCAAUUCUGUGAGAUCAUCUACAUCCCUCUAGUAAUUCCUCUUUUCUAAUAUUAGAGGCAAAUUUUGUUGCCUAACACCCAGGAAAACAUGACUGAUGGACCAUACACUCUUAGAGAUGUGUAUGCACCUACAGCCAUGUAAAUGCUCAAAUAUGAUUUUUACGUAACUAUGCUUUACAGUAGCUUGUAUUUCAGACACUUUGUGUACUUGGGAUUAAACAAAAAGAAUUAAUUCAAGUAGGCUCUAAUCUGACUUAGUAUGGGGAUAAAUGAAUGACAGAUAGGCCAUAUCUCAGUUAACCAGGCAAGUGUCUUGGUGAAUCAGGACUCCAGCUUGUGCUGCUGCUGCCCUGUGAACAGUGUGGCACUCCUAAAGUGGCUUCUGUCUGUUCUCUUGGAUGCUCUAUUUCCCCUGUCAUCUCCCAGCCUUGUCUCUGGCCAUCCUGAACCAAGCCCUCAUCUCGUUACACCGCUCUACUCACUGUCUCAGGAUGCACACUCUCUUCUUGGUGUCUGCUUUUCCUGUUGUUUAUUUCCCUUUUCCUUCCUGCAAGACCAGCUCAAUGACCUGAAGCCUUUCUGAAUAGCCUACAGGGCAGUGCCUGUCCUCCCACCCCCUAAAUUCCCAGAGUAGCUGACAUUUGUUCGUUGCUUGCCAAGUUACUUGUGUGUUUGAGUCAGGAUAUAAAGAACACUGACAUUGCUUUGACAGCAUGUCAGAGAGACUUAUUGCCAUGCUUGAUACUCAUAUACUUGCCUUCUGUCUUCUGCGUGCCCAUCAUGGCAUUAUAUUCACACUGUUUCAUCCAUUAAGUGAGCAGAUCCCAUACUCAUGCAGGAUACUUAUUUCAUUACCCAACACCAAAGGUAAGGAGGAAGCCAGCUGCCCAAAAAAUAAACUUUUGCCUCAGAAACAUUCUGAAGCUAAUUUUUUCCAUGGCUGGUUCUAGUUGUUUAAGGAGCUGUCAGAAACUGUGAGUUGUGAAUUGGAGAGACCAAGAUCUUGCAUGUCCUCAAGGAUGGGGGCCUGGACCUCUGGUUACAGAUCUGGCCCUAUAGGUGCUCUAAGGUGGCAAAGUAUAUAUUUUGACUCUGAAGAGUAUUCAUCAUGUUCAUAAAGGGAGGUGAGGUUGCUCAUGUUUGUCUUGGCUGGCCAGCCAGCUUACAAGCGUUAUUUGCUCAUGGUGGCAAUCACAGAGGGCCUUUGCCCAAGAUACCAGUUUUUCUCCCCUCUGGCUUCAUUGCUUCCCUUGGGCAGAAAGAACCCAGAAGAUCUGUUCCUGGAAAGUAGGGGCCAGUAUGUAUCCUGUAAACUGUCAACUUAUUUGGGAGUUUAAAAAGCAUACUAAAAUAGGGAUCCAAAUACUAUUUGGCUUCAGUAGUUUGGAACCUAUACUCUCACAUAACAAA
rnacentral:lncRNA from 1 species